AUGACUUUGAUCCCCGUCUUCAUCUGGACACUGAUCCUCUGGACUCAAGAAUGCAGAGGUCAAGCCACAGUAACUCAGACUCCUGCAGUGAAAUCUGCUCUUCCAGGAGAAACAGUCACCAUCAACUGUAGAACCAGUCAGGCAGUGUAUCAUCACAGCUCAUAUGGUCACUACUUCAGCUGGUAUCAGCAGAAACCUGGAGAAGCUCCUAAACUCCUGAUUAAGCUCGCAAAUCAGCGACAGUCAGGUAUUCCAGCUCGUUUCAGUGGCAGUGGAUCUGGAUCUGAUUUCACUCUGACCAUCAGUGGAGUCCAGACUGAAGAUGCAGGAGAUUACUACUGUCAGAGUUGGCAUUACAUCAGUAGUAUCUGGCACUCACACCGUGUUAUAGAGUCGUACAAAAACCUCCCUCAGUCAGAUUGUUACAGUCUGGUCCUGCUCUGGAUUCUGACUCAGUCACUGGUGUAA